UCGGGACUCACCUCCCUAAGUAUAUAUUGUGUUUCUAUUAUGAUUUUUAGCGUUACGGUAUGAUAUUAAUCGAAUCCGACGUUGCCGGUCGAAGUCCGGCGGAAGCCCACUGAUUUCCGUUGAAAACAGUACUGGAAUUUGAAAUGGAAAAUAGAAUAAUUACAGUUUAACCCCUCGUGACUUAAGAGCUUAUAAAUCUAACUCUUAAAUGGUAAAAGUUAAUAUUAAGCCCCGAAGUUAAUUAGUUUCAUUCCGAUGCCGCCGGUCGAACCGGCCGAAACCCACUGUUUUUCCUGAAAAUGGUAGCCACUGGAUUUGAAAAUUUCUUAGAAUAUUUGCUGUUUAGUCCCUUAAAUAGAUUAGCUCAUAAAUCUAACCCUUGAGUAUUAAAGGCUAAGAUUAUAAGUCCCGAGGUGAUUAAGAGUAAAUCGUAGACUUUAGUUUCGAAAAAGAAAAGAGAAAAGAAAAGGAAUAACUUAAUUUGUUUUAAUCGCAUAAUUAGUGUUGUCGCACGAUUAAAUAGUUUUAGGAUGUUGGUAUGUUUAGUUGGAUUAUUGAAUUGCAUGAUUAGAUUUAACGUAUGAUAAAUUAUUCGCGUGUUUAGCGUCAUCGCAUGAUUUGUUUUUAUCGCAAAUUUAUUUGUUGUUAUAGCCCAUGAGCAUGUUUCGAAAAGUGUUGAAUUGUGUGAAAUGUUAUUGUAUUGAUAGAUUGGCCAAAUAGGUUCCCGGGGUUGGUUGCGAUGUGCGGAUUUAACAUAUUAGACGUGAAAGUAAGUUUAAAGGAAAAUGGAUAAUGUGAGAGGCUGUGAUUGUGAUUCCGGACAAGGAAUCCGGGGAUUGAAUUAUUGGAGGUUGAUUGGUGGUGAUUUGUUGAAAGUGUCGAUUUACGAAUCCUGGGUACGGCAUGGUGGUGAUCAGCUCUCGGAUGUUGGGACGGGACAUAAGGGUGGCAUUGUGCUUGCGUCACAACCCGGGCUAGACGGCGCUUGAGCGUUGCCGGUGAAGUUCAACCCGGGCUAGACGGCGCUUGAGCGUUGCCGGUGAAGUUUUAUCCGAACUUAUGGUUGCGGAUGGGAUACCCAGGUAUAUAACUUAGGUAUCUUUCAUCUGGAUCUGGAAAAGGGGAGUCGGACCACACCAGUGUUUGUGCCAGAGGUUAUGGGUAGGAACGGAUCUGUGGAUAAGAUCUGAGAUUUCACUUAGGUUAAAGAAUAGUGAUGAAAUAAUGGAUUUGUUAUCUUCUGAUGUUAUUUUUAUUGCAUUGAUGUUAUUUUUAUUGCAUUCCUAUUAUAUAUCUCGUUGCUUGUAAGUUAUGGGUUCGGGUAGUUCGGGACUCACCUCCCUAAGUAUAUAUUGUGUUUCUAUUAUGAUUUUUAGCGUUACGGUAUGAUAUUAAUCGAAUCCGACGUUGCCGGUCGAAGUCCGGCGGAAGCCCACUGAUUUCCGUUGAAAACAGUACUGGAAUUUGAAAUGGAAAAUAGAAUAAUUACAGUUUAACCCCUCGUGACUUAAGAGCUUAUAAAUCUAACUCUUAAAUGGUAAAAGUUAAUAUUAAGCCCCGAAGUUAAUUAGUUUCAUUCCGAUGCCGCCGGUCGAACCGGCCGAAACCCACUGUUUUUCCUGAAAAUGGUAGCCACUGGAUUUGAAAAUUUCUUAGAAUAUUUGCUGUUUAGUCCCUUAAAUAGAUUAGCUCAUAAAUCUAACCCUUGAGUAUUAAAGGCUAAGAUUAUAAGUCCCGAGGUGAUUAAGAGUAAAUCGUAGACUUUAGUUUCGAAAAAGAAAAGAGAAAAGAAAAGGAAUAACUUAAUUUGUUUUAAUCGCAUAAUUAGUGUUGUCGCACGAUUAAAUAGUUUUAGGAUGUUGGUAUGUUUAGUUGGAUUAUUGAAUUGCAUGAUUAGAUUUAACGUAUGAUAAAUUAUUCGCGUGUUUAGCGUCAUCGCAUGAUUUGUUUUUAUCGCAAAUUUAUUUGUUGUUAUAGCCCAUGAGCAUGUUUCGAAAAGUGUUGAAUUGUGUGAAAUGUUAUUGUAUUGAUAGAUUGGCCAAAUAGGUUCCCGGGGUUGGUUGCGAUGUGCGGAUUUAACAUAUUAGACGUGAAAGUAAGUUUAAA